CAUUGAAGAAUCAAAUAUCUAUAGAAACAUGAAUGAUGAAGAAAUCAACAGGAAGGAACCACAAGACAAGUUAAAUAAUGGUGAGAGUAGUGAAGACAAUUCUUCACACCAAAUUAGCCAAGAGGCUGCUACUUCAGAAGCCACUAAACAAAUAGAUAAGGUGGAAACUGUGGAGCAUAUGGAUGAGGAAUCAAGAGACUUAGUUGAUGACAAAAUGCCAUCAACAGAAGUAGUUGAAGAAGAUAAACAUUAAAUAACAGCAAAUGGUAACAUCAAUGAAGAGUUGCCGCAACCACAAGUAACUAAGCCAAUGGUUCGCGACAAAGAAACAAUUGAGGGACAUACAGAGGAUUCAUGAAGACAUAAAGUGAUGCAUCUUGCAAGUUGAAAAUGCUAAAGCUCGAAACUUAUAGGCUAAAGAAAGUGGAGUUAACAUUAUUUAGUUUUUCUCUCAAUUGCAAAAUGACUUAUAAGUUAAUUUAUCAAAGAGGUUGAACUUGCCAAAUAGAAGAAAAACUAAAGUAAAGUUGCACGUACUAUUUCUCCCU